AUUCGGCUGAUGAAGCCCAAACAGGAUGAAACGCACGUCCUGGAU
rnacentral:hammerhead_ribozyme from 1 species